ensembl:lncRNA
CUCAGUUCCUGUCAACGGUUUACAGGCUGGUUUGGCAGUUCCAGACAAAAAACUUGAAUUUUCUGAGAGUCUACAUGAAAUUCUACUGUCCUUGAAACCAGGUUGAAUUCCGUCUUUGAGCUGCCAGAGAACAUUCCACGCUUUCACCUUCGGGAGAUUUCAGAGCUAAGAUUCUUUGAGAUUUCUGCAUUUGAAAGAGGCCAUAAAAGAAAAAAAGAUACAGAUGCUUUUCAAGUAUAUGGACGUCAAAUGGAUCUGAAGACACUAAAGAUGGCAUAUCAUUGGAUGGAUACCACUGGCUUUCAACAUAGAAAUCUAAAUAUAGAAAGGAUUAAACAAUCACUUAUAAUUUCACUAAAAUAAGUGCCAAGAUUCCUAUAGUUUCUAAUGGGGGCAGGAGCUGACCUCCUCCUUAGCUGUCCUCAGUUAAACAAUACAGAAACAUAAUGACUUCAGUGAGAGACCUGGGUAAUGAGCAUAUAUCCCCAUCAUCAGCUCUGUGUUGCCCCAUUCUUCUCCCCUGCCUUUCCCUGGCCUUCAUUACUUGCUGAAGCUUGAAGUGAUGCACUUCUUCAGCAUCAGCUUUCCAAAUGGCUGCCUCAAUCAUAUGAAGGAUUCCUUCCUUAUGGAUGAUCUCCACAGGACUUAAACUAAGAGCCUAUGGUCAUUUUUAUAAAUCACUAUGCAAGUGUCCAUAACUAUGCAGUGCUUCACAAAAUUCUCUGGGUGUUUACCUCAUAUAGGUUACAGCUGAUUUUAAAUAUUAGUUGAUUCGGGGACUGGUAGAGUCUAGCAUAUAAAAGUAACUGUUGAGUCAGAAAGUAUGUAUUAGAGAAGUGAUCUGAUCUUCUCAGGUCUACAGAGGAUGAAGGAAUAAGAUACUCUGGGGUGGGAUGGUAAGUGUGGUGUACCAUUUUUUUAUAGGUAAAAUUGUCUGGGAAGCAUUGGAUUUGCUAUAUAUUCAUGGCUGCUUUCUCUACCAUUCCUUUGUUUAUAUCUUCUUUGCUCUAGGCUAAAUGCAGCUCAUGAUAUGGAUCUUCCUUCCCUGUAUCUGAGAUAGCAUUACAGAUACACAGGUCCAUCCAGAGACAAGCAGAUAAAAAGGAGCAUGUGCACUUUCAUGAGCAGCCUUCAUGUAAAUUGCUUCCUUUUCUUUUGGUUGCUGCUAACUGCCUCCAGCACUGAUUAAUCUGAUUACUCAUAGCAGCUCGAUGUUACUUUUUGUGUGGCA